rnacentral:rRNA from 1 species
GACAGAGGGUGCGAACGUUGUUCGGAAUUACUGGGCGUAAAGCGUGCGUAGACGGUUAUGUAAGUCAGAUGUGAAAGCCCCGGGCUCAACCUGGGAAUUGCAUUUGAGACUGCAUAGCUAGGGUGCGGAAGAGGGAAGCGGAAUUUCCGGUGUAGCGGUGAAAUGCGUAGAUAUCGGAAGGAACACCAGUGGCGAAAGCGGCUUCCUGGUCCAGCACCGACGUUCAGGCACGAAAGCGUGGGGAGCAAACAGG